GUGAGUGUAGUUCAGUUGGUUAGAGCGCCAGAUUGUGGCUCUGGAGGUCGUGGGUUCAAGUCCCAUCACUCACCCCA
rnacentral:tRNA from 1 species